CUAUAAACGCUUUGUUUUUUGGUCUGGGUCGUGCUCGAAUCUUGGCUCCACAACUUCUUUCGAGUCCAUUAGUAAUGUUACAUACCCUUUUUUUUUUUGCCUCUCUCGCAUUAUCAUUGUACACCCCUUACACACACAUGUCAUCCCAAUCCCAUGUGUCUUGCAUACGCACAUCCAUAUAUUCUAAAUUCUCUUGAUCUUCCACAGCUUCAUGUGUAAUCUCAGCACUAACAGAUUCUUCAUCUUUUCCAAUAACAACUUCUAGCUCCUCUUGGUGAAAUAUUUAACGUGUAUAUCCUUCUAUGAAAACCCGUUGCUGGAAGAGGGAGGAGGAUGAUCUCGAUCUAGGAGAUCUUGCUGGAGGAGGGAGGAGGAGAUUUAGAUCUAGCUACGACAUCUUGGUGGGGGAGGUGGAUUUGGAGGAGACCGACGAGUGGGGCCGAGGUGCGCGAAGGGUUUGAGAAAGGGAGGCUCGCCCGUGGAUGGGAUCGAUGGUGCAUAUCAGCCGCACCUAGGGACCUCCA
rnacentral:lncRNA from 1 species